UACGAAGGGGGCUAGCGUUGCUCGGAAUCACUGGGCGUAAAGCGCACGUAGGCGGCUUUUUAAGUCAGGGGUGAAAUCCUGGAGCUCAACUCCAGAACUGCCUUUGAUACUGAGAGCUUGAGUCCGGGAGAGGUGAGUGGAACUGCGAGUGUAGAGGUGAAAUUCGUAGAUAUUCGCAAGAACACCAGUGGCGAAGGCGGCUCACUGGCCCGGUACUGACGCUGACGGUGCGAAAGCGUGGGGA
rnacentral:rRNA from 1 species